rnacentral:rRNA from 1 species
UACGGGGGGGGCAAGCGUUGUUCGGAAUUACUGGGCGUAAAGGGCUCGUAGGCGGCCAACUAAGUCAGACGUGAAAUCCCUCGGCUUAACCGGGGAACUGCGUCUGAUACUGGAUGGCUUGAGUUCGGGAGAGGGAUGCGGAAUUCCAGGUGUAGGCGGUGAAAUGCGUAGAUAUCUGGAGGAACACCGGUGGCGAAGGCGGCAUCCUGGACCGAUACUGACGCUGAGGAGCGAAAGCCAGGGGAGCAAACGGG